UGAGGAAUAUUGGUCAAUGGGCGAGAGCCUGAACCAGCCAAGUAGCGUGAAGGAUGAAGGUCCUACGGAUUGUAAACUUCUUUUAUACGGGAAUAAAGUAUCCUACGUGUAAGAUUUUGUAUGUACCGUAUGAAUAAGCAUCGGCUAACUCCGUGCCAGCAGCCGCGGUAAUACGGAGGAUGCGAGCGUUAUCCGGAUUUAUUGGGUUUAAAGGGAGCGCAGACGGGAGAUUAAGUCAGUUGUGAAAGUUUGCGGCUCAACCGUAAAAUUGCAGUUGAUACUGGUUUCCUUGAGUGCAGUUGAGGCAGGCGGAAUUCGUGGUGUAGCGGUGAAAUGCUUAGAUAUCACGAAGAACCCCGAUUGCGAAGGCAGCUUGCUAAACUGUAACUGACGUUCAUGCUCGAAAGUGUGGGUAUCAAACAGGAUUAGAUACCCUGGUAGUCCACACGGUAAACGAUGGAUACUCGCUGUUGGCGAUAUACUGUCAGCGGCCAAGCGAAAGCAUUAAGUAUCCCACCUGGGGAGUACGCCGGCAACGGUGAAACUCAAAGGAAUUGACGGGGGCCCGCACAAGCGGAGGAACAUGUGGUUUAAUUCGAUGAUACGCGAGGAACCUUACCCGGGCUUAAAUUGCAGACGAAUUACGAGGAAACUUGUAAGCCGCAAGGCGUCUGUGAAGGUGCUGCAUGGUUGUCGUCAGCUCGUGCCGUGAGGUGUCGGCUUAAGUGCCAUAACGAGCGCAACCCUUGUGGUCAGUUACUAACAGGUUAAGCUGAGGACUCUGGCCAGACUGCCAUCGUAAGAUGUGAGGAAGGUGGGGAUGACGUCAAAUCAGCACGGCCCUUACGUCCGGGGCUACACACGUGUUACAAUGGGAGGUACAGAAGGCAGCUACCCGGCGACGGGAUGCCAAUCCCCAAAACCUCUCUCAGUUCGGACUGGAGUCUGCAACCCGACUCCACGAAGCUGGAUUCGCUAGUAAUCGCGCAUCAGCCACGGCGCGGUGAAUACGUUCCC
rnacentral:rRNA from 1 species